CCUACGGGAGGCAGCAGUGGGGAAUAUUGCACAAUGGGCGCAAGCCUGAUGCAGCCAUGCCGCGUGUGUGAAGAAGGCCUUCGGGUUGUAAAGCACUUUCAGCGGGGAGGAAGGCGGUGAGGUUAAUAACCUCAUCGAUUGACGUUACCCGCAGAAGAAGCACCGGCUAACUCCGUGCCAGCAGCCGCGGUAAUACGGAGGGUGCAAGCGUUAAUCGGAAUUACUGGGCGUAAAGCGCACGCAGGCGGUCUGUCAAGUCGGAUGUGAAAUCCCCGGGCUCAACCUGGGAACUGCAUUCGAAACUGGCAGGCUAGAGUCUUGUAGAGGGGGGUAGAAUUCCAGGUGUAGCGGUGAAAUGCGUAGAGACCUGGAGGAAUACCGGUGGCGAAGGCGGCCCCCUGGACAAAGACUGACGCUCAGGUGCGAAAGCGUGGGGAGCAAACAGGAUUAGAUACCCUAGUAGUC
rnacentral:rRNA from 1 species